GAUGAACGCUGGCGGCGUGCCUAAUACAUGCAAGUCGAGCGAACGGACGAGAGGCUUGCUUUUCUGAUGUUAGCGGCGGACGGGUGAGUAACACGUGGAUAACCUACCUAUAAGACUGGGAUAACUUCGGGAAACCGGAGCUAAUACCGGAUAAUAUUUUGAACCGCAUGGUUCAAAAGUGAAAGACGGUCUUGCUGUCACUUAUAGAUGGAUCCGCGCUGCAUUAGCUAGUUGGUAAGGUAACGGCUUACCAAGGCAACGAUGCAUAGCCGACCUGAGAGGGUGAUCGGCCACACUGGAACUGAGACACGGUCCAGACUCCUACGGGAGGCAGCAGUAGGGAAUCUUCCGCAAUGGGCGAAAGCCUGACGGAGCAACGCCGCGUGAGUGAUGAAGGUCUUCGGAUCGUAAAACUCUGUUAUUAGGGAAGAACAUAUGUGUAAGUAACUGUGCACAUCUUGACGGUACCUAAUCAGAAAGCCUCGGCUAACUACGUG
rnacentral:rRNA from 1 species